rnacentral:rRNA from 1 species
AACGGCCGUACCAUGCUGAAUGUACCGGUUCUCGUUAGAUCACCGAAGUCACAUCAUUGGGCGCGGUCAGUACUUGGUGUGGCGGUGACCACCUGGGAACACCGCAUGCCGU